rnacentral:rRNA from 1 species
ACGCUCGACACCCUACGGAGAGGCAGCGAGGUGGGGAAUAUUGCACGAAGUGGGGGAAACCCUGAUGCAGCGACGCCGCGUGAGUGAAGAAGUUAUUUCGGUAUAGUAAAGCUCUAUCAGGACGAAGGGAAAGAAGAUGACGGUACCUGAGUAAGAACGCCCCGGNUAACUACGUGCCAGCAGCCGCGGUAAUCGNGACGGGCCGGGCUGGACAAGGC